UUGUGGCAUAAUAGAACCUUUGA
rnacentral:piRNA from 1 species